CGCCUGCAUAAUGGCAAACCGUCCAUCAGUCAAAGACUUGCGCUUGCAAGAUAAUAACAAUCUGUUUAAAUUUUGUUUUGUGUGAUUGGUUGCCAUUCCACAGGCUCAACUUGCCAUUUUGACGAUCGCUUGACUUUAAUUUUUCAAUAUAUUGUGGACUUUAUUGAUUUAUGCCGUUGUGAACGUGAUUUUUAUCACGUGAAAGGAAUUUUAUUUGUUCAAAAGGUACUACGUUUCGGACGUUUUGACAUAAAGAUUUUCGUCUCCACGUGAUCUCAUCGCGCACAAGAUAAUCAUGUGCAAAUGGAAACUGCAAAGUAAGACACCUUAUUAGUAUUCUGUAUGCCUUGCGAUGACGCAAACACCACUACAUGCCGCGGGCAAGUAGAUUUAUGUAACUCUACUUUUUGAGUCAUAUACCUAGCAUCUACGUUUAAUAAAUGUGACGUUAUUAAAACAGAAUUUAUAUCGUGCUAAUCAAGUGCAAGAUUACUUAAUUACUUCAGCGUCUACUCUAUCAUCUAUCAUGUAAAUCAAGCAAAGGCUAUCAUCACUAUAUAAACGUAUAAGCAAAGAGAAGAGUAUAGCAAAUUGCGAUGUGGUACUAGUUUUAAGAAAAGCAAACAGCUAACUAUUUAGAUUUAGAUGACUUUUAAAUACAUUAAGAAAAAUAUACAAGAGAAAGAGAAUAAAUUUUACUGAUAACUUGAUAUUUUUCAGAUUUACUAAAAGCGCCCUUUCUUUGCAAUCAAAUCCUCUUGUUAGCGGCAGAAGAUUUAUGAUUCUUACUCACAAUAGUCAAGUGACGUAUUAUCCGGGAAAGUGCUGGUUUGCCAUCCCUAAUUCACCGGAGUGACUGGACUGUACUGCUGUUCGAAUGGUGAUGCUAUUUUGAGCUACGGCUCGGUUUUAGUAGGCCAGUGGGAAACGGAAGCGGAGGCAGGAAAAUGGAACGAGACAAGUCUUGCGACUCAUCGGAGCUAAAAGCGGCUUUUCAAUCUGAUGAAAAGCAACGUCCAUCUUCAGAAGAGACAAAAGAUUCACCUGUUGAGAAUAAUUGUCCAUCGUCGCGGCAACAAAAACAAGAAAAUACAUCUGGAUUUAACUGUAAUCGAUUGCCGUUCGUAUUUUCCUUGGACAGCCUUGUAAAUUUGAUCAACGUGGAAAAGCAAACCUGAAAAUACAUAAAAUCCACAGGAGCCGACUGGAAUGCCGGGUUACACACAGUUGACACAUAGAUGAUCCCCCCCUCUCGCUCCCCGCCCGUGCAAUGUAAUUUCAUAUCGCCUAAUUAGGCAGCACGCAAGGACGGCGACCCUAAUUCGCAAGGCGUGUCGGUCUAUGCGAUUCAUGGAUUUUCCGCGGUACAGGAAAUAACAUAAUCGUUUGAGCGCAUAGUUGAAGUGACCAGAAAACCAGCAUUCAUAUUCAUAAGAUUAAAAAUAAUUCUACCUUGAUAAAAUUAAUAAAAUAGUGCCAAGUGUUAAUUUGUUGCAUGACAAUUCGAGGAAAUGAACAAUUAUGAUAAAAGCAGCAAUAAUGUAAUGAACAAUGCAAAAAAAGAAGGUCGUUUGUUAUACGACUUAAUUAGAUUGCGUCUUUUACUCAUACGUGAAAAAUGUGGGAGGCCCCUCGCACUGCGCUUUGAGACGUUAAUGAUGUAAUUAAGGCGUUCACGUAUCGUGCGAAUGGACCAACUUGCGCCAGAUGAAUGAAACUUGUAAGGUCUCACCGAGAACUUGCAAGUUUUCGAUAACACGCGUUUUCCUCGAAAGCAUUUUAAGAAAUUAAUUUUAUGCGUGUGAAACUGAUAAGUACAAUAAAUGGAGAGUAACU